rnacentral:rRNA from 1 species
UACAGAGGUCCCAAGCGUUGUUCGGAUUCAUUGGGCGUAAAGGGUGCGUAGGCGGUCGGGUAAGUCGGAUGUGAAAUCCCAGGGCUCAACCCUGGAACUGCAUUCGAUACUGCCUGGCUAGAGUACUGGAGAGGAGACUGGAAUUUACGGUGUAGCAGUGAAAUGCGUAGAUAUCGUAAGGAAGACCAGUGGCGAAGGCGAGUCUCUGGACAGUUACCGACGCUGAGGCACGAAGGUCAGGGGAGCAAACGGG